AUUGAACGCUGGCGGCAUGCCUUACACAUGCAAGUCGAACGGCAGCACGGGGCAACCUGGUGGCGAGUGGCGAACGGGUGAGUAAUGCAUCGGAACGUACCUUUCAGUGGGGGAUAACGUAGCGAAAGUUACGCUAAUACCGCAUAUUCUGUGAGCAGGAAGGCAGGGGAUCGCAAGACCUUGCGCUGAUUGAGCGGCCGAUGUCAGAUUAGCUAGUUGGUGAGGUAAAGGCUCACCAAGGCGACGAUCUGUAGCGGGUCUGAGAGGAUGAUCCGCCACACUGGAACUGAGACACAGUCCAGACUCCUACGGGAGGCAGCAGUGGGGAAUUUUGGACAAUGGGGGCAACCCUGAUCCAGCCAUGCCGCGUGAGUGAAGAAGGCCUUCGGGUUGUAAAGCUCUUUCGGCCGGGAAGAAAUCGCACGGGCUAAUACCCUGUGUGGAUGACGGUACCGGAAUAAGAAGCACCGGCUAACUACGUGCCAGCAGCCGCGGUAAAAC
rnacentral:rRNA from 1 species